rnacentral:rRNA from 1 species
CCUUGGAGGAAAUAACAGUAGAACGCUGCUAAGUCCAUAUACCUUUGGUGAAAUAGAGUAAUCUGCCUAGGAGGAGCUCNCGUCUGAUUAGCUAGUUGGUGGGGUAAAGGCCUACCAAGGCGAUGAUCAGUAGUUGGUUUGAGAGGAUGAUCAGCCACACUGGGACUGAGACACGGCCCAGACUCCUACGGGAGGCAGCAGUGAGGAAUUUUCCGCAAUGGGCGAAAGCNUGACGGAGCAAUACCGCGUGAGGGAUGACGGCCUUUGGGUUGUAAACCUCUUUUUUCAAGGAGGAAGUUCUGACGUGUACUUGAAGAAUAAGCAUCGGC